rnacentral:misc_RNA from 1 species
UUUCCGUAGGUGAACCUGCGGAAGGAUCAUUAAAGAGAAUAUGCCCUUCGGGGUAGUUCUCCCACCCUUUGUUUAUAUUACCUUUGUUGCUUUGGCAGGCCCGUCUUCGGACCACCGGCUUCGGCUGGUCAGUGCUUGCCAGAGGACCCAAACUCUUAUUAUUAAUGUCGUCUGAGUACUAUAUAAUAGUUAAAACUUUCAACAACGGAUCUCUUGGUUCUG